rnacentral:rRNA from 1 species
AGAGUUUGAUCCUGGCUCAGGACAAACGCUGGCGGCGUGCCUAACACAUGCAAGUCGAACGGACACUUGUUUUCGGACGAGUGUGAGUGGCGGACGGGUGAGUAACACGUGGAUGACGUAUCCUCGUGUGGGGGAUAACCUUCAGAAAUGAGGGAUAAUACCGCAUACGAUCACUGGAGUAGGCUCUGGUGAAGAAAGCUGCCUGGCAACGGGUGGCGCAGGGGGAGCGGUCUGCGACCGAUUAGCUAGUUGGUGGGGUAAGAGCCUACCAAGGCGACGAUCGGUAGCUGGUCUGAGAGGAUGAUCAGCCACACUGGGAUUGAGAACGGCCCAGACUCCUACGGGGGGCAGCAGUGAGGGAUCUUCGUCAAUGGGGGAAACCCUGAACGAGCAACGCCGCGUGUGGGAAGACGGCCUUCGGGUUGUAAACCACUUUUCUUGGGGACGAGACAGGACGGUACCCGAGGAAGAAGUCUCGGCUAACUACGUGCCAGCAGCCGCGGUAAUACGUAGGAGACGAGCGUUGUCCGGAGUUACUGGGCGUAAAGCGCGCGUAGGCGGUAGGGUACGACCGGUGUGAAAGCCCCCGGCUCAACUGGGGAAGGUCACGGGUAACGGCUCUACUUACGAGUGCAGGAGAGGGAAGUGGAACUCCGGGAGUAGCGGUGAAAUGCGUAGAGACCCGGAGGAACACCAGUGGCGAAGGCGGCUUCCUGGCCUACCACUGACGCUGAGGCGCGAAAGCUAGGGGAGCGAACGGGAUUAGAUACCCCGGUAGUCCUAGCCGUAAACGAUGGACACUAGGUGUGCGUGGUAUCGACCCCACGCGUGCCGGAGCCAACGCAGUAAGUGUCCCGCCUGGGGAGUACGGCCGCAAGGCUAAAACUUAAAGGAAUUGACGG